CAAGGAUUUUCUUAGUAGCGGCGAGCGAAAAGAAAAUAGUUCAGCACUAAGUCACUUUGUCUUAAUGGCAAAUGUGAGAUGCAGUGUAUGGAAUGUCAAAUUUCUAGUAUGAGAAAUUAACGAUUUAAGUCCUUCUUAAAUGAGGCCAUUCACCCAAAGAGGGUGCCAGGCCCGUAUAACGUUAAUGAUUACUAGAUGGCAUUUCCAAAGAGUCGUGUUGCUUGAUAGUGCAGCACUAAGUGGGUGGUAAACUCCAUCUAAAACUAAAUAUAACCAUGAGACCGAUAGUAAACAAGUACCGUGAGGGAAAGUUGAAAAGAACUCUGAAUAGAGAGUUAAAUAGUACGUGAAACUGCUUAGAGGUUAAGCCCGAUGAACCUGAAUAUCCAUUAUAGAAAAUUCAUCAUUAUGAUUUUAAUAUUUAUAAUAUUAUAAUAAUGGUGUGCAUUUUUUCUAUAAAAGGACAUUGUAAUCUAUUAACAUGCAAAUAUUUAUCAUAAGAUCAAUUGCAAAAGUUUAUUCAAAUUAUUUUGCUUGCAAUUUAACAUAGAAUAAAUGCUUUUGAUUUGAUAAAGUGUUGAUAGAUUUAUUAUAUAUAGUGCUUAAAUAUUUAUAUUUUAUAAUAGCAUAUUAAUCAUUGAUUUUUAUGUUUAUUAUAUGCACUUAUAUGAUUAACAAUGCGAAAGAUUCAGGAUACCUUCGGGACCCGUCUUGAAACACGGACCAAGGAGUCUAACAUAUUUGCAAGUUAUUGGGAAUAAAAACCUAAUAGCGAAAUUAACAUAACUUAUUUAAUGGGAUUAAUUUUUAGCCUAUUUAUAGUCUAUUAAUUCAAUCCCGGGGCGUUCUAUACAGUUAUGUAUAAUAAUAUUUAUAUUAUUUAUACCUCUAACUAGAGCGUACCUUGAGCAUAUAUGCUGUGACCCGAAAGAUGGUGAACUAUACUUGAUCAGGUUGAAGUCAGG
rnacentral:rRNA from 1 species